GCCACCUGCUGGUACAAGUUUUGCCUAUAAAUUAUUAAGAGAAGAAAGCUCCUAAUAUCUUUGAUUUGUACGCAACCAGCAGAAAAAAUUACACACCAUUCGGAGCCCUGAUCCAUAGCAUGCAGGUGAUUGUAAAUAUUAGCCCUAAUCGGCAGGAACAUACAAACAAGAGAGAUGAUGGUCAUGUGUUGCCAAGAGAUCAUGAUCAGGAGCCGAAAAAGAGUUUUGUUGGGUGGGAUCAAGAGUACAGCAGUAGUACUACUAUAGAUCAGGGUAAAAGCAAUAUUAUGGGCAGCGAGAUGAAGAGCAUGCGCAAGCCUGGAGAAGAAAGCCUAGUAGUAAGGCAGGAAUAUUUAAGCGACAACGUCGUCGAAAGAGACACAAAACCCAAGCCUGUUGUGGGUAAUCCUACUGGGUAUGAUUAUUUUCUGUCGUCAAAAAGGGAGUGUAGUACUACUGGUGUUCUCGGGGAGGAGACUUCAACCAAGAUGAUCUGUUGUCAACAGAGAAGAAAAAAGGUGGCAGAAGUACUCCAAAAAAUGUCGUGGACGGCGUUGCACGGACAAGUUCUCCACUUGAAGAGGAGAAGAAAGGUGAAUCCCAUGUUACUGAGGAGCGCACAAAGCUAAUGCAACAUAUCAAAACCGGGAGUUGUCAAGGAAAGGUGGUUGGGUGAUGAGGAAUUUGAAAGUAUAAGUUUGCUCCAGCUGAAGGGUAAGGCAUGGCAUGAGCUCAUACGAAGUUGGCUAGAUCCACUCUUGAAAGGAAGCCAACAAGCGUAAUAACAACUGGUUGCCACCACCAUGGGCAAUUGUUGCAUUGAUGGUCUUGGGAUUCAAUGAGUUUAUGAUGCUCCUGAGAAAUCCUUUGUAAUUGGGUGUUAUCUUUGUUGCUUUUCUACUCAUGAAGGCCAUAUGGGUGCAGCUGGACAUUUCUGGUGAAUUUCGUCAUGGUGCUCUCAUGUAGGAGGCAGUAGAUGGAAUUCUUGAUAACCCUGUUCCAGACAGCUGGAUUGAUCUUUGCCGCUCACUCACCAAGUCAUCGGAAAUCAUCAACCAUCGAUGUGCGAAGUUGCGGAUGAACUCCCCCCACCAUUAUUUGUUUAUACUUGUAUCACCUGGAUUGUGGAUGUUUGAUCUGUACUUUAAAGCUUGUAAGAGACAUUAGCUGCUCCCAUUUGUAAGACUUUAUUGCCUUCCAUUAAUGCACCAUA